GUGGGGAAUAUUGGGCAAUGGGGGAAACCCUGACCCAGCGACGCCGCGUGAGGGAAGAAGGCCUUAGGGUCGUAAACCUCUGUUGUGUGGGAAGAAGAGCGUGACGGUACCACACGAGGAAGUCCCGGCUAACUACGUGCCAGCAGCCGCGGUAAUACGUAGGGGACGAGCGUUGUCCGGAAUUACUGGGCGUAAAGGGCGCGUAGGCGGUCAUUUAAGUCAGCUGUGAAAUGGUCCGGCUCAACCGGAUCAUGCGGUUGAAACUGGAUGACUGGAGUGCUGGAGAGGCAAGUGGAAUUCCCAGUGUAGCGGUGAAAUGCGUAGAUAUUGGGAAGAACACCGGUGGCGAAGGCGACUUGCUGGCCAGCAACUGACGCUGAGGCGCGAAAGCCAGGGGAGCAAACGGGAUUAGAAACCCCGGUAGUCC
rnacentral:rRNA from 1 species